rnacentral:rRNA from 1 species
UGGGGAAUAUUGCACAAUGGGCGCAAGCCUGAUGCAGCCAUGCCGCUUGUAUGAAGAAGGCCUUCGGGUUGUAAAGUACUUUCAGUCGGGAGGAAGGUGGUAAGGUUAAUAACCUUAUCAAUUGACGUUACCGACAGAAGAAGCACCGGCUAACUCCGUUCCAGCAGCCGCGGUAAUACGGAGUGUGCAAGCGUUAAUCGGAAUUACUGGGCGUAAAGCGCACGCAGGCGGUUGAUUGAGUCAGAUGUGAAAUCCCCGGGCUUAACCCGGGAAUUGCAUCUGAUACUGGUCAGCUAGAGUCUUGUAGAGGGGGGUAGAAUUCCAUGUGUAGCGGUGAAAUGCGUAGAGAUGUGGAGGAAUACCGGUGGCGAAGGCGGCCCCCUGGACAAAGACUGACGCUCAGGUGCGAAAGCGUGGGGAGCAAACAGG